AAUUGCCCUGCAAUAACAUCUGAUGUAUUUAAUAAAAAUGGAGGGUAAUUAUUUCCAAACAGAAAUGUGCACAGUCCUAUCUGUGUAUAAAUGAUCUGGUUUGGGUUUCAGUGUGUAUGGAUCCAAGGCAAGAGAGAUAGGAAACUGACAGCGGUUGGUAUGUGCUGCACUUUGACAUUGUCAGUGACUGAAAGGAGGGACAGAGAAACUAGAAAUUUGAAGAUGAGAUAAUGGGAUAAACCAUGCCGAGAUUAUUGAGAGAAUGAAAGAAGGGAAGAGGAGAUGUAAUGUGCUUAACCUUUGCUUAUUCACCCUGUCUGGAUUUUAUUUUGUCCCAAGCCUGGAAACAAGCAUUUUAGGGUCCAGUUCUGCCAAAGCAUGCUUGGCUCCAAAUGAAUUCCUGAAAACACAGUGGUUUUGUUCAAUGUUCAAAAGAAAGCAUUUGUGUUGUGCAAACCCCUUACCUCCCACACAUCUUUCAGUAAUUAUAUGUUCAAUGUGGGAUUAAAUUAUGUCUUUUACUUGUGAAAUAGCCAUUGCUGCAGUCACAUGGUGAAUAGCACAUUAUCUUAGCUUUUCCCUAGCCACAUUGUUAAGCUUCUUUAAGUAUACUGUAGAUCUCACAAUAUCAAUAAACUUUGUCCUGAAUAGUAGACCAUGUUUAACCCAACAAAAAAAAAAGAACAUCAAGUUGUUAUAAUCAAAUAUGAAGAGCUGUGCUCAGAUAACUAACUCUAUGUGUUGUACUUGAAAGAAGACUGGAGAUAUUCAAUCUUGUAUUUGACAAGAGGGUGUGUACAAAUUUUGAUAAGCCUUUGCACCAUGGUUGUGUCAUGUGCAUGUAAUGUUUCUAUAUUCGAUAUGGAUUUAUUUUCUGGAAUUUAAGCAACUGGCUGGCAACAAUUUUCUAGCAUCAACUGCUACUGAACAAAACCUUUAGGACUGAUGGAAAGUGAUUUUGAUCUGCAACUGUUUUCUUUCUGAAUAGAAACAUGCAAGAAGUUAAAUACAAGAAGCUAAUCCUGAGAAGAAUGCCCUUCCUGAGGUUUUGUUGUUUUUCUUGAAAACGUGCCAAUUUGCCAUCAAAAUUCAACUAUGAUGGAAAUUCCUACACUUCAGCAAAUGAAUUUGAGAGACAUCUUGGUAGUACAUGUAAUAUUUGCAACACAAGUAGAAUGUAACUAUAGACGUGUGUGUACAUGUGAACAAAAUAAGAAUCAAGAUUAAUGGAAGCUGAAUAAACGUAGACAAUAUAGGAAUAAUCCAUACAAAAGUAGUAGCUGGAUAUUUGAUCAUAUAGAAUGAAGAUCAAAUCACAGAGGAUAGAAAAAUGUGGAUUUACGUAAGCACGAUUUUCUUUCUUUCCUGUCUAUAAUUUGUUUUGCUUGCCAUUUGCAGUUUGAAUAUUGCUUAUCCCAAAAUGGAACACUUGAUAGUUUGUGGGGAAACACCCAUGGCAUAUUUAGAGUUGUCGUAAAAAUGCUGACUGUACAGGUAGGCCCAGCCCGAAAUACACAUUAAGCAGAUGGCAGGUAGGUGAGAUUCUUUCAUCACGUUCAGGAAAGCCAGUUUCCAACUUCUCUUUUGUCGUUCUCUCUUUCAGGCACCGACACUUCAAAACAAGGUGGAGUCUUCCACCAUUAUUAUUAAAAAAAAUUAUAAUGGGGGAUAUGUUAGGAAAGUCUAGAAAUUAAGGUGCUGGCAUCUGACAAUUUGCUCCAUUGAUGUGCUUGCUGCCCAGUUAUUUUUUUUAAUUAAGAAUCUAAAAUAAUGCUGAAACUAGUGUAGGAGGGAAUCCAGUGAUGCCAAGGUGUCUAGGAACACAUUAAUAACUUGUGCAUCACUAUGCCUAUCCUUGCUCCACGCUAUGACAGAAAUUAAGGCAAUGCCUUUUAAAGGCUUACUGAACAAAAGCACCAGAAGGCAUCUAUUUAGGUGCUUCUACUCUCUAAGAAGCCUUAAAUUAACUGAAACAUUAAAAAUUGCAAUUUAAAUAUUUUGAUGCAGCAAGGCGUAGAAUGCUCAUAAAAAUGUUUUGCUAAUGCCUUCCUGCUGUUCUAUAGAAAUGAUUAUUACUUUACAAUAACGUUGCCUUGACAGUGUAUAGUCCUUUCGUAAUACAGUCAGGAUGAAUGUGCAUAACUGCUCUCAAUUAUUUACGGAGGAGCAUAAUUAAAACUAGUGUUGACUUAACUACAACAGCAAAGUCAGAUGAUGCAUAUGAGACAUGUUCCAGUGUUAAUGUUUUGAUUUCACUAUAAAUUUGUUGCUUGGUGAUUAACAUUUGCUGAUUAUUCCAGUCACAAACCUACCAUUAGAGUAUACUGGAAAGCUUACAAUAUCCCUCUCAUGCUAGAUAACAUCAAAGGAAGGAAGGCAAAGGUGCACAUAAAAUUGCAUUAGUUAAAUUAGGGAUUUCGGAACAGAAGUGUAUUGUUUUUGUUGUUCAUUCUGGAAUUUCCGGUGGGGGGGACUUCAUUAUACAAAUGAAAUUUAAAGUAAUUGUUUCAUUUCAUCACUGUAUAAUUGCUAAGCCACAAGUUGUGUCCUACAUAACUGUGUAAAAGCUGGACACACGUAAGCAGUGAAAACCUCAAAAUUACAUACAAAUAGUUAUUUGUAUUUAGAUAAAACUGGCAAAAGCAUUUCUUAAAAAAAAACCACAUGUAUCAGAGUAAUUUAUCCUCAAUUAAAAAAAAAAUCAUACUUUAUGUAAAUGAAUUACCCAAGAACACUUAUAGCAAACAAGCCAGAUCUAUUGCUUAGCAACUCAGCAAUUUGUUAUUGGCCAAUUCCACUUGAUAGAAGAUUAUACUGAGCCCUGUUUUCCUCACUUUCACCUAUGAAACAAGCUGGUUCCUCCAUUCAAGUAAAUAGAUCAGCUUCAAGCAAGAUGCAUUCAUGGCAUGGCUGAAGCCAAAUGUGGAAGGCUGGCACACUUUAGGCAUGCAUUAUUAAGAAAAAAAUCUUAAGAUAACAAUGGAAAACUCAUAUCAAAAUUAAGUAAAAUAGUAACGUUCCCAGGAUCUGUACUGAAUAAUAAAAGGUAAAAUAUUCAACAUAAUUCUGAAUAUUUGCAUCUCAAGCAUCUAGAGAUUGUGUCAUAAAAAUAAAAGGAACAGCAAAAUAGUUCUGAAAGAGGGCACCUGUUGUAGAUUAUUAAUUAGCAGAGUUAACUAUGGUUGUCAAGGUUCUGUUUUUGUUGUUAAAAUAUUUAAUGCCCUCCAAUUAAAUGUAAAAAAAUUUAUUCAAUCUAGUCCAAUAUGUGAUCACAACAGAAACAUUAAACAGCACAACAGAAUAAUGGUUUUGCUACUGAAUUAAAAAUAAUUCCACAUUAUUCACAGUACAUUUGAGUAAGAAGAUACAGAAUAGUUUCUGAAGUUUAACCAUAGAAUAAAUUUCAAAUCCAUACACUGCACCAGGUGACAUGAGACUAUGUGUUAUCUGUUAAAAAAAAAAUCCAGCAGGUAACAAAGGGCUAGUGUUCAUACCAAAAAUAACACUCACAAGACUUUUCCUCAAAAGAAUUUUACAAAGUAUUUAUAGCACUGAAGAUCCUUGAAGAAAUCCAGCAGUUUGCAAAUACCUCUCUCUCUCUGUAAUUCCAGAGUCCAACUGAAUUAAACUUGUAAUUCUUUUCAGUAGUUAGAAGAUACAACUAGUAUUCUAUACUUCAUAUUUCUUCACGUACUUUAAUACUGGAAUACUACUUGGUCAUAAUAUACAUUUUCUACAUUUUUAAAAUAGUACAUUUCUAUAGCUAAAAUAAUGUCCACUUCAGAAAAUCAUACUUUGUUAGCAUACAUUAUUGCAAAUGAACAUGAAGCCCAUUUUGUUUAAUUUCUGAUGAAGAUUUAUUUACCAAUUCUUAAAAAGAAUAACUUUCUAUCAUUUACAGUGAAUAUUACACUGUUGAAUCUAGCAUUAUCUAGUUCUCCAAUGCUGCUGAUACAAAUUGCCACCAGUAAUCCCAGGAAUUGGAAUUGAUUACAUAAAUAUGACUUCACACUGAUAAGCUUAUUUCUUUUGUUGAGAAAAAGAUAGCUCAAGUACCAUUCCUAAAUCUCAACUCUUUAUGUUAUAAGAAACCCAUUCUGUUUACUAGAAAAGGGUUUCUCUAUGUCUGCAUGUAGAAUUAGGACCACUACUCCAAGUAUUUGCUGGGAGGUUCCAUCAAAAUCAAAGACACUUAGAAAUUGUAUUCUCAAAACAAAACCAGUAAAGUGCCAGAUGUCAUAGGAGUAAAAUAUUAAAACAAUUUCUAUUUAAAAAAGCCCUACUAGUAAAUACAAUUUGUAUUAUGUUUAUAGUUUCCUGAAUACUUUUGGAAGUAUAGGCAGAAUACUUCUACAUAUAGCUGCAUGUUAUCAGUCCUGGUUUUGAAUCUUACUUUUAUAUUUAUCUUGAACUAAUAAUAUCCAUCAUUUGACUGAGA